UGCGGUAGGAUCACCUCCUUUCAAGGAUGAUGUGUGAUACGUUGGACGUCUCCGAAAUAAAAAGACCUUAUUCUUAUGGAUAAGGCAGCCAGAAGCUCUGUUUUAUGACUAGAGCGCCGUCAACAUAUCCCUUCCUAUCGUUUCCCGGGCUAGUAGCUCAGUUGGUUAGAGCACACGCUUGAUAAGCGUGGGGUCGGAGGUUCAAGUCCUCCCUGGCCCACCAGAGUUGCUGUCUGAUAAUGGGGGCAUAGCUCAGCUGGGAGAGCACCUGCUUUGCAAGCAGGGGGUCAUCGGUUCGAUCCCGAUUGCCUCCACCAGAUCAGAAAGACGCGGUAGAGAGACUAAGCGUAAAUGCCUUGUGAGAAUGGGGUGUUGCUUUGGUAUUUCCUGCGGAUUGCAGGUCUGGUGGUUUGGGAAACAUAGGAAAGUGGAAAGAAGUUUCUGCUUUUUUGUCUUACGUUUGUGAAGACGAGAGAGCGGGAUGUUGGUUCUUUGAGAGUGUGAAUAGGUUGGUGCAUCAUCUGCGUGUGCCGUUCUCGGGUUGGUCUGACCCUUUGUGCCUUUGGUACAAUGCUAAGAGAAUGGCGUGAGCAUUCAGAUGAUGAUGAAUAAAGAGUGUGUCUGACACUGCGAACAUGAGCAGAAGUCGGCAGCAUCUUAGGGUGUGGCUGGUUUCUGUGCAUGUGCCAAUUCCUUGGAAUUGGGUGUUGUGUGAGAAUGAGAAGGGCGUUCGGUGGAUGCCUUGGCA
rnacentral:tRNA from 1 species